rnacentral:tRNA from 1 species
GGUUCUGUGGUGUAAUGGUUAGCACUUUGGACUUUGAACCCAAGGAUCCGAGUUCAAAUCUCGGCAGGACCU